UGGACAAACAAAAAUGUACAACCCAAAAUUUCACAAUGUUAGAAACCAUUAAAACAUCAAUUAAAAAAAAAAAGUUAAUGUCAUACACAUAGAAAUAUACUUUACAAGUGUAAGCUGCAUUUCCAAAGAAAAUAUUCUUGAGCAUAUUCCUAUUGAAACACAACCAGAAUAAUGGCUUUCUUGAAGUAUAUACUGCGUAUACCAUAAAAGUCACUCAUUGUAAGUGGACAGUGCAAUAAUCUUUGGUAAAUUUAUACAAUUGUACAAGAAACACUGAGCUUCAGGGCAUUUCCUUCAUGCCAAAAUAUUCCCUUCUGACUGUAUGCAGACAAUCCCUGCUCCCACAUUUGGGGAAAUGGAAUGCAGAUUGAAGGGUGACUCAUUUCUAAUACGACCUGCAGAGUGCUAAAGCUGAAGCUAAAUGCCACCCAGGAAGGUGUGACCCACUUCUGCUGAGGAAUGACGAAAAUGCUCAGAAUCUCCAUACCAGGGAACAAAAGCUCAAGGCUGAAGUGAGCGACCUGGCAAGGAUAAGGAGAAGCUGGACUCUCAGCCUUGGCCCCCUUCCUCGCAGCCUGGUGCCUGGAAUCAUUACCAGUCUAUGACCAUCUUGCACCAAGUUCAGAGCUUCAAGUUCCCCACAGUAUCCUGUUUGUUCAUAUGUGGAGAAGGUGACCUCAGAUCUAGAGUCACCAAGAGCUUCACAGGAGGAGUUACACAUGCACGUAUUGGGGAGUUCCUGCUCCUGAAAUUCCACAGCCCCAUCUCACACCCUGGAUUGUUGGAGAGCUCCGAUGGAGUGUGGAGGAGAGGAGGACACAAGUCACUGCCUAUGGCCUCAGGAAAACCAAUUCACGGGAGUACGCAUGGGUCCUGAGUGGCGUCAGCUGUAAGAAGGUCUCAUCCAUGGGCCUACUUCACCCAACUCCCCUGGAGCAGGCCCAGCAUUUUCCCAUCAACUGUGGAACAUCUCUCACUCUCUUGUGAUCCAUAAAGAAGUUUCCUGGCCUCAGGCCUCUAAUUUUCCCUUUGACUAAUCCCCCUCUUCCUGACUUCACAACUGAAGCCUCACGUACCUAGGGAGUGUUCCAGGCCAGCUCUGUGCCUAGAACUCCUCCCGGGCCUCUAUCCUCACACAGCAUCUCACAUCCUUGUGCCUCAUCCUGGGACACAGCGAGCCGCAGCCAGCCCUGAGCACAGGGGCCUGGGAGGGAGGGGAAGUCUCUGCUCUGAUCCCUGGAUUUGGUUCCCCUAACUUCAAGUUAACUUUCUGUGCCUCACUGUCCUCAGGAACAGGCAGGUCACGUGGAAAUGGAGCACUGUUCUUCCGGUGCUCUAACGUCACUUAUGUCUUUUCUAACAGUUCCCUUUCUCUGCUGAGAUGUGCAUGUCACCCAAAUCCUUGCAAUGAGCGUAUAAAUAAAUUUAGGGGUAAUUGACUGUUCUGACCAUAA